GGAGGGUGCAAGCGUUAAUCGGAAUUACUGGGCGUAAAGCGCGCGUAGGCGGCUAAGUAAGUCGGAUGUGAAAGCCCUGGGCUCAACCUGGGAAUUGCAUUCGAUACUGCUUGACUAGAGUAUGGUAGAGGGAAGUGGAAUUUCCGGUGUAGCGGUGAAAUGCGUAGAUAUCGGAAGGAACACCAGUGGCGAAGGCGACUUCCUGGGCCAAUACUGACGCUGAGGUGCGAAAGCGUGGGGAGCAAACAGGGAUUAGAUACCCUGGUAGUCCACGCCGUAAACGAUGAGAACUAGAUGUUGGGAGGGUUACCUCUCGGUGUCGCAGCUAACGCGUUAAGUUCUCCGCCCGGGGGUAGUACGCCGGCAACGGUA
rnacentral:rRNA from 1 species